CUCUACUGAAGUUUUUUUUGGGGGGGAGAGGUGGAAUGCGGGGCCACCCAAAAGCAAGGGGUGUGGGUGGGUAGGAGGAGAACCUGCCUCGUGCAGGACGGCGCGCUCACUGGGCCCUGCCAGUGCCUGGCAUGGAGCUCAGCGUCUACGAAAUUAAUCUGCUGACGCCAGGUUGCGAGGUGUGGUUCAGCAAGAGCCCACACGCCAGAGCCACGCGGCCGGGAUUCGAAUCUAACUGGGUUGCUACUGGCUUUGGGAACUGUGGGCAAGGUGUGUCGUUUUUCUGUGCCUCAGUUUCCUCAUCUGUAAAGUAGGCACAGAGGAAGUGGGUUGUGGCCACUUUCAAUGUGUUCAUGUAAGUUAGCACUUUUUAGAAGCCUUGGGUAGCCUGGUUUGUGGGUGUAAGGUCAGGAAUGACCACAGUGCAGGUUUUCUGAUCCCAUGCAGACCGGGUAAAGGAGGAGUCAGAGUCCUCAGUGGUUUUGCAGGGCUUUUAUUGGGGUUCACCAGGCAUAUGGCAGGCAGGGAUGCUGGGGGGCCCCGGGAGGCUGGCAGGCCUCGCAGCCCCCAGCGAGUCUUCAUUCUAUCUGGGCUCACUGGUAUUCUCUGCUUCUGCUUCUGCUUCUUUGCUUCUCUCUUGGCUUCUCUUUCGGCUUCUGCUGCUGGCUGCUUCUUUUUUGGCUUCUACCGGCGUCUGCGUGACACCGCCCUUGAAAGCACAGUCUUAGCACAGGUGUACCCACUUCAGGUGCUCGCCAUCAGGCAUGCAUUCAGGAUCACAGGGUUCCCUCAUCUAUCCUCAUGGCAGGAGGGCAGAAAAGCCUGAUUUUUUACCUUACCCUACAGUGGGUCCUUAAAUAGUUGUUCCCAGUGGGUCACAUCCUCAAGGGUUAAGGGUGAGACCUGAGCCCAGACUCUUACUCCGAGUUGAACCGAGGUGGUUGGUCCUAUUCACCAGUGUAAGGGGGCAAAGGUGCAGCUUUUCCGAUCAGCAAGGUAGUUCUUCAAUUUUCUGUAAAUCCUGAGGGCUGUAAAUCCUUUUCUGUAAAUCCUUCCCCAGGGCUCAGGCUGGGAUACUGGGUAGGAGUUAAGAGCAAGGUAAAUUUCAUAACAUGGCUUUGUUUUUGACAAUUCUAGUUUCCACCCAGAAUUUACAUGUCCUCUUUAUGGCCCUUGGCGACCCUCGCCAGCUCCUCACCUUCAUAGGAGACCACAGGAACAACAGGACAGCCAGCACUCCCUCCCACAGUUGAAAUGACAAUUUAGUUCUCUCAACUCUUGGAAUCUUUGAAGGGACUGAGCAGCAUCACUAAGAACAAAGUCUCCAGAGGCAGCCGAGCCAGGUUUCCUUCUCAGCCGCUUCCUAUUAGCGGCGUGGUUGCAGUGUCCAUGAUGCCCCGGGUCCAGGUACAAGCCCAUUCUCCGGGACGAUCCUCGCAGGGCACAGCUCUCUCCCCGCGGCCGCCUUCAGGGGCCACAGCUGUUCUUCGUUUUGCGUUUUGGGAUUCUGACAUGGUUGGAAGCAGAAACAUCCUGAGACAAGGAUCUGAAUAUUGGUCGGUUGUUUGUUGGGACGUGUUCCCUGGCAACUUAGGUACAAAUGGAAGCACCUGGUCAUGGCAGGCACUGAGCAAAAUGCUGAGGACACAGCUGGACCUUCUGUGUGGGCUGCCCCCCCACCCCACACCUACAACCCCACAGGGAAGAGAGACUUCAACAGUGAUCGAAAUAUCGAGAGACCACUUCACCCCCCAACCCCAUCACAAAUUAGAAAGAUUAGGACUUGCAAGUGUUGGGGAUAACGUGGGGAGGUAGGAGGCCUCGGCACUGCUGUGGACAUGUAUGUUGCCUCCACCAUUCUGGGCAGUAUUUGGUAACAUUAAAUCUGAACAAACCUUGUGUCCAGAAAUCCCAUUCCUGGAUAAUCACCCCAGAGAAGCUCCUAAAAAGCCAGGAGAGAAUCGAACAGAAAGGUUCAUGGCAGUGUUGCUAGUGGCAGAGUGUAUCAGCAGAUGGUGCUGGGGAAGGUGAAGCAAUAGUGAGGAGAACAUACUAGAUGUUCCUAGAGCAAUGCAGAUGGGAAGACCAUAGUGAAAUUUAGUCUUACAUAGUGAAAUUUAGUUUUUGAAAAUGAGAGCACAUGCAGGAAGCCCUUAAAAUGUACAAGCCUCGUGUAUUUGGGGAAGGUGACUAGGAGUGGGGAUCAAGGAAAAAGACUUAAGAGUCCUUGGGGGCCUCCCUUGGUGGCACAAGGGGGUGAGACACAGCACUGUGAAGCUAUCUGCAGCCUCUGCAGCACAAGUUCAAUCCCCAGCCAGGGAGCAACCCACAUGGCGCAGCAGACUUCUCCUGGCUCUCGCUGCUCCCCUCAGCAGUGUAGGCCAGUCUGCCUGUUCUGCUUCCCACUGUGUCUCUGUGAAUCCUCUCAUCCCCCCACACUCUGGCCUGUACUCCAGUUCUUGUAAGCAUAAAUAAAUCUUUAAAAAAGGGGUCUU